rfam:Aedes albopictus isolate Foshan contig47530, whole genome shotgun sequence.
UGUUCUGUGGCUUAGUUGGUUGAAGCGCUAGACUAGCGAUACGGAGUCUUGGGUUCGAAUCCCAACAAAACAA